rnacentral:rRNA from 1 species
UAGGGAAUCUUCGGCAAUGGACGAAAGUCUGACCGAGCAACGCCGCGUGAGUGAAGAAGGUUUUCGGAUCGUAAAACUCUGUUGUUAGAGAAGAACAAGGACGUUAGUAACUGAACGUCCCCUGACGGUAUCUAACCAGAAAGCCACGGCUAACUACGUGCCAGCAGCCGCGGUAAUACGUAGGUGGCAAGCGUUGUCCGGAUUUAUUGGGCGUAAAGCGAGCGCAGGCGGUUUCUUAAGUCUGAUGUGAAAGCCCCCGGCUCAACCGGGGAGGGUCAUUGGAAACUGGGAGACUUGAGUGCAGAAGAGGGGAGUGGAAUUCCCUGUGUAGCGGUGAAAUGCGUACAUAUAUGGAGGAACACCAGUGGCGAAGGCGGCUCUCUGGUCUGUAACUGACGCUGAGGCUCGAAAGCGUGGGGAGCAAACAGG